AUUGAACGCUGGCGGCAGGCUUAACACAUGCAAGUCGAGCGGGGGAAGGUAGCUUGCUACUGGACCUAGCGGCGGACGGGUGAGUAAUGCUUAGGAAUCUGCCUAUUAGUGGGGGACAACAUCUCGAAAGGGAUGCUAAUACCGCAUACGUCCUACGGGAGAAAGCAGGGGAUCUUCGGACCUUGCGCUAAUAGAUGAGCCUAAGUCGGAUUAGCUAGUUGGUGGGGUAAAGGCCUACCAAGGCGACGAUCUGUAGCGGGUCUGAGAGGAUGAUCCGCCACACUGGGACUGAGACACGGCCCAGACUCCUACGGGAGGCGGCAGUGGGGAAUAUUGGACAAUGGGGGGAACCCUGAUCCAGCCAUGCCGCGUGUGUGAAGAAGGCCUUAUGGUUGUAAAGCACUUUAAGCGAGGAGGAGGCUACUUUAGUUAAUACCUAGAGAUAGUGGACGUUACUCGCAGAAUAAGCACCGGCUAACUCUGUGCCAGCAGCCGCGGUAAUACAGAGGGUGCGAGCGUUAAUCGGAUUUACUGGGCGUAAAGCGUGCGUAGGCGGCUUAUUAAGUCGGAUGUGAAAUCCCCGAGCUUAACUUGGGAAUUGCAUUCGAUACUGGUGAGCUAGAGUAUGGGAGAGGAUGGUAGAAUUCCAGGUGUAGCGGUGAAAUGCGUAGAGAUCUGGGAGGAAUACCGAUGGCGAAGGCAGCCAUCUGGCCUAAUACUGACGCUGAGGUACGA
rnacentral:rRNA from 1 species